CAAAUACUCCCUCUGUUCGGAAUUACUCGUCGCAGAAAUGGAUGUAUCUAGACGUAUUUUAUUUUUAGAUACAUCUAUAUCCGAGACAAAUAAUUCCGAACCGAGAGAGUACUAA
rfam:Triticum urartu cultivar G1812 contig1085322, whole genome shotgun sequence.